GGAUUGUGGCUCAGUGGUAGAGCACUUGCCUCAUUUGUGUGAAGCACUGGGUUCGAUCCUCAGCACCA
rnacentral:tRNA from 1 species